rnacentral:lncRNA from 10 species
AGGCGCCUCUGCGGAGACGCCUCUCCCGGCGAGUCGCACUGCCGCUCCGGGCUGUCCGCCCAGGCGCAGGCACGCAGACACACUCGCACACACAGGCUGGCACCGCCACAACCCGCCAGCCGGUGUGACAGGAGCCCUGCUACCCGCAGCAAAAACCUGCCCUAGGUACGGAGCAUGCGCCAAAGCCUCCCCCAGCCCCGGAGGAGUUUCCAGGGGAGGAGUCCGCUGCUCCGCGGGGCUCGGAGGAGGCAGCUGGGGGUGGGAAUCCCUUCGGCCGGGAGCAAGGAGAGAUUUGGCAGAAAGGCAAAGGUGGGGCGAGAGGAGGCCCCGAGGUAAGCGUCGCUGGCGUUGAUCUGACACCUUAAAAUGGGCAGCUUCUCUGUCUGGUAGUGGCCGGCCUUAUUUUCAGGAAUAACACCUGCACACUCCCGGGAACACUCACUAGACCAGACUUUACACGGGUUGGCAGUUCCCUUCUCAGCAGGGGAACGUGGCUCCAGACUGCUGUGAAUUUCUACCCAAGACAUUCUAACUGGUGUUCGAGUUUUAUGGUGGUCCUCCCUUAAUAACAAACUUGGUGCGUCCAACUAUACAACUGUAUUCAACCAGCAUCAAUUAACCAUUAAGCGCCUAACUGUGUAUCAGGCUCUAUGUUCAAUACACACUUUCUUUCAGCACUAGACAGUCCAGCCCUCAACCAUGCAGUACUUAGAACAUAAAAAGGAGUUUAGGGAUCACCUCCUAAAAAAAUCAUUCUACUAAUAGACGUUGAACUCCUAAAUGUUCAAGAUUUAUUCCUUCCCAACAAUGGUGGAAGAUAACACUUAAGCUUGCCUAUAUUUCAUAAGCCCUAAUUUGUAUGCAGAUGUUUUUUGGAAACUUUAUUUUUCAAACAUCUAGAUGUUGCAUUUAGUAUUACCCCAGAACUAAAUCUUUGCUCAAUAACAACUUCUGUUUUUCAGAUAGUGAAAAGAUAUACGAUCAAAUUGUUGUAACUGCCCUACCACAGUCCCUAGACCUGCUCGACCUAUUUUCCGAGUGGAGAGUGGCAAUGUGUUAAAGGCAAUGUGUGAGGACAAUGCAGUGUGAUUCCCUGGCCCAGACCAAUGUGUCCCUCCCAGCUACACUACCGUAUUCCACAGGUGUGCUAUAAUAUUUCAUAGCAGCCCACCGUCCCAUCUGGCCUUUUUAUGAAUCCAUGCACUUGUUUCUUCCUGAGACACUCUGUCGAUGUCAUCUAUUUAUCAGGGUGUCCCCUCUGCAGCCAUCAGUGAAGAUCCAGGGCUCUUUCAGGGAUGCUAAAGUUUGCCCAUAGGAUACUAUUUUCCUUGUUUAGACAGGUGGAAUUCUUCUCAAUAAAACUUCCCUCCUCUAUUUCCUUUCCCGUUUUCAACUCUUUAAACAACUCCAACCCUUGCCUUUCCUAAUAUGUAGGAGGCUAUAUCAGUAGAAAAGGUGUUGGGUGAGAUGAAUCAGCUUCUUUAAAGCUUAUUUGAUUCUAUUUCUUUUUCUCUCACUUAAGUUUGAAAUCCUAUUAAUGGCAUCACACCCCACUCCACAGCAAGAAACUGUGAUAAAACAAAAGCCCAACAAUUAUUUUCUGAAUGUGUCUGCUUAAUAUACACAUACCUCUGCUUUAGUUAAGUAAAACAUCAUUAUACCUUUUUAUAUCACCUUAUUGAAGAAGCUUCUCAUUUCCUAUAAAAUUGCUUGAUAUCACAUGGAUAAACAUCACCUUAUUAGCUACCAAAAUGGAUAACCAGAAUGCUAGUGGUAGUUUGUAUAGUGGAAAGCACUCUCCUAGCCAUUAUUUCAUUUGCUUCUCAGAACAACACUCUAAGGAGAUAAGAGAAGUAUAAUAUCCCAUUUCAGAGAUGAGGAAACUGAAGCAAGGAAAGUUAGGUGAAAGCAAAGCCAAAUUAGAAACUGCUAACAUCCCGAAAAUACAGUCACUGAAGAAGUUCAACAAACAUCAACAACAGAGCC